rnacentral:lncRNA from 1 species
AAGGGUUUGAUCAAAAGGCUGCUGCAGUUGUUGUGGCAAGAAUAACUUCAUAAAAAAUGGAGAUGGAGGUAUUCUUAAAUGCUUAUAUCCCUAAAAAUGCUUAUAUCACUUAUAUUUAUUCGUUUACGUCACCAAUAAUUCUCUUCAAACAUUUUAAACUGCAUUGUUUUGGCUUCGAAAACUGAAAAAAGAAAUUGGGAGACGACUCCAAGGUUUAGGGAAUUUUAUAUAGGAUUCCUACCUUCAAAAAGUUUACUUUGUCAUGUGUGCUGAAAUUCAUGCGUUCCUCUAUUAUAUUUAUUCUAAGGUGUUCUUUUACAACAUAAGCUCGCUCUAUCUUGAAUUAGUUUAUAGAUUUUGGUUGUUGAUAUUAAAUUCUUCAAACGCUCAUCAAGUACAUGGUUAGGAAAUAAGCUCUUGAUUAGAAACAAGAUUCAUGAUAUAUAUAAUGUUUCUUUUACAUUCAGAUUACUACAUUGUAGUCCUCCAUUUUCUUCUUUGUUGUGGUAAUGUUGGUUCACAAAUGUAUGUGUUAUGGAUGCUUAUAUUCAUGUUGUCUUUGUAGGUUCAACCGGAGUCGACAACUUCAUGAGUUUUCUUUCAAAGAACAUUUUCAGAGACGAACAUUCUCGGUUGGUCGUUUAUGCUUCUGCAGAAAAUCUUGUUAGAUGUAUUAUAAUGCUAUUUAAAAUAUUUUUUGAUUAAGGGUUGGGAUUCCGUACUUGUAAAUUGUUGACACUUGAUUGGAAAUGUACGAAUAUUAUAAAUUGUAUUAUAUCGUAUAUAUAUUAAAG